rnacentral:rRNA from 1 species
CCUACGGGUGGCUGCAGUGGGGAAUAUUGCACAAUGGGCGCAAGCCUGAUGCAGCCAUGCCGCGUGUGUGAAGAAGGCCUUCGGGUUGUAAAGCACUUUCAGCGGGGAGGAAGGCGGUGAGGUUAAUAACCUCAUCGAUUGACGUUACCCGCGGAAGAAGCACCGGCUAACUCCGUGCCAGCAGCCGCGGUAAUACGGAGGGUGCAAGCGUUAAUCGGAAUUACUGGGCGUAAAGCGCACGCAGGCGGUCUGUCAAGUCGGAUGUGAAAUCCCCGGGCUCAACCUGGGAACUGCAUUCGAAACUGGCAGGCUAGAGUCUUGUAGAGGGGGGUAGAAUUCCAGGUGUAGCGGUGAAAUGCGUAGAGAUCGGGAGGAAUACCGGUGGCGAAGGCGGCCCCCUGGACAAAGACUGACGCUCAGGUGCGAAAGCGUGGGGAGCAAACAGGAUUAGAUACCCGAGUAGUC